CGGGGUAUAGCUCAAUUGGCAGAGCGCUUGGUUCGGGACCAAGAGGUUCUCAGUUCAAGCCUGAGUACCCCGACCA
rnacentral:tRNA from 5 species